GUUUUUUUUUUUAAUUGAAAUUUGACCGUUAAUUUUCCCAUUAGAUUCAGUGUUCCGGUCACCGGCGAAGCUUCGAAUUAUGUCUGAAUAGCCUUCAUCAAAUCAGAAUUAGGGUUUCAAAUUGUAAGCUUUUCCUCCAUAGUUUCAAUUGUUCGUAUAUAGUUGUAGGUCUUAUUAGGUACUUUCAAAGUCUCAGUUAUGCUGCAGUCGUGCAACCUGCAACAUUAGCCUUUCCACUCAUAUUCCUACUGAGUUGAAGGACGAAUUACACUUCCUCACCAUUGAGAUUGGUUGUGUUGCCAUAGUUUCAGCCCAUAUCUGUUAUUCUCCUAAAAUUGCAGCAAGGAUGAACAUGUAUAAGUCAACUCUGUUGCAACACAAGUAUUAUUGGAAGAAGAUUUUUUAAAAUUUACUAGAAGGAUUAGAAUAUAACGACCUUGCUUAUAUUUUUUUUUACAAGUAAAGACAUAUGUAGUAAGUAUUUAGUGCAUUGAUCUUAUGUAUUG